AAUUUUAAGGUCAAGCUACAAAGGGCGCAUGGUGAAUGCCUUGGCACUAGGAGCCGAAGAAGGACGCGAUAAGCUGCGAUAAGCCUUGGGUAGCCGCAAAUAGGCUGAGAUCCAGGGAUUUCCGAAUGAGGAAACUCACAUGGGUAACCCCAUGUAUCAUGCACUGAAUACAUAGGUGUAUGAGGGUAAACCCGGGGAACUGAAACAUCUAAGUACCCGGAGGAAGAGAAAGAAAAAUCGAUUUCCUAAGUAGCGGCGAGCGAACGGGAAAGAGCCCAAACCAGAAACUUGUUUCUGGGGUUGUGGAUAGAUCAUAAAAGAAGAGGUAUCUUAAUCGAAGAGGGCUGGAACGCCCUACCAUAGAAGGUAAUAGUCCUGUAGAUAAAAAGAGAAAACUUCGAGAUCUAAUCCAGAGUACCACGAGACACGUGAAACCUUGUGGGAAGCAGGGAGGACCACCUCCCAAGGCUAAAUACUACCUAGUGACCGAUAGUGAAGCAGUACCGUGAGGGAAAGGUGAAAAGAACCCCGGAAGGGGAGUGAAAUAGAACCUGAAACCGUGUGCCUACAACCGAUCGGAGCACGUUAAAGUGUGACGAUGUGCUUUUUGUAGAACGAGCCAGCGAGUUACGCUAUGUAGCAAGGUUAAGUACUUAAGGUAUGGAGCCGAAGGGAAACC
rnacentral:rRNA from 1 species